rnacentral:rRNA from 3 species
CUAAUCUGCGAUAAGCGCCGGUAAGGUGAUAUGAACCGUUAUAACCGGCGAUACCCGAAUGGGGAAACCCAGUGUGACUCGUCACACUAUCAUUAACUGAAUCCAUAGGUUAAUGAGGCGAACCGGGGGAACUGAAACAUCUAAGUACCCCGAGGAAAAGAAAUCAACCGAGAUUCCCCCAGUAGCGGCGAGCGAACGGGGAGGAGCCCAGAGCCUGAAUCAGCAUGUGUGUUAGUGGAAGCGUCUGGAAAGGCGCGCGAUACAGGGUGACAGCCCCGUACACAAAAGCGCAUGUGCUGUGAGCUCGAUGAGUAGGGCGGGACACGUGGUAUCCUGUCUGAAUAUGGGGGGACCAUCCUCCAAGGCUAAAUACUCCUGACUGACCGAUAGUGAACCAGUACCGUGAGGGAAAGGCGAAAAGAACCCCGGCGAGGGGAGUGAAAAAGAACCUGAAACCGUGUACGUACAAGCAGUGGGAGCACCCUUUGGGUGUGACUGCGUACCUUUUGUAUAAUGGGUCAGCGACUUAUAUUCUGUAGCAAGGUUAACCGAAUAGGGGAGCCGGAGGGAAACCGAGUCUUAAUUGGGCGUUAAGUUGCAGGGUAUAGACCCGAAACCCGGUGAUCUAGCCAUGGGCAGGUUGAAGGUUGGGUAACACUAACUGGAGGACCGAACCGACUAAUGUUGAAAAAUUAGCGGAUGACCUGUGGCUGGGGGUGAAAGGCCAAUCAAACCGGGAGAUAGCUGGUUCUCCCCGAAAGCUAUUUAGGUAGCGCCUCGUGAAUUCAUCUCCGGGGGUAGAGCACUGUUUCGGCUAGGGGGCCAUCCCGGCUUACCAACCCGAUGCAAACUGCGAAUACCGGAGAAUGUUAUCACGGGAGACACACGGCGGGUGCUAACGUCCGUCGUGAAGAGGGAAACAACCCAGACCGCCAGCUAAGGUCCCAAAGUCAUGGUUAAGUGGGAAACGAUGUGGGAAGGCCCAGACAGCCAGGAUGUUGGCUUAGAAGCAGCCAUCAUUUAAAGAAAGCGUAAUAGCUCACUGGUCGAGUCGGCCUGCGCGGAAGAUGUAACGGGGCUAAACCAUGCACCGAAGCUGCGGCAGCGACACUGUGUGUUGUUGGGUAGGGGAGCGUUCUGUAAGCCUGUGAAGGUGUGUCGUGAGGCAUGCUGGAGGUAUCAGAAGUGCGAAUGCUGACAUAAGUAACGAUAAAGCGGGUGAAAAGCCCGCUCGCCGGAAGACCAAGGGUUCCUGUCCAACGUUAAUCGGGGCAGGGUGAGUCGACCCCUAAGGCGAGGCCGAAAGGCGUAGUCGAUGGGAAACGGGUUAAUAUUCCCGUACUUGGUGUUACUGCGAAGGGGGGACGGAGAAGGCUAUGUUGGCCGGGCGACGGUUGUCCCGGUUUAAGCGUGUAGGUGUGUGUUCCAGGUAAAUCCGGUUCACUUUAACACUGAGGCGUGACGACGAGGCACUACGGUGCUGAAGCAACAAAUGCCCUGCUUCCAGGAAAAGCCUCUAAGCAUCAGGUAACAUCAAAUCGUACCCCAAACCGACACAGGUGGUCAGGUAGAGAAUACCAAGGCGCUUGAGAGAACUCGGGUGAAGGAACUAGGCAAAAUGGUGCCGUAACUUCGGGAGAAGGCACGCUGACACGUAGGUGAAGUGAUUUACUCAUGGAGCUGAAGUCAGUCGAAGAUACCAGCUGGCUGCAACUGUUUAUUAAAAACACAGCACUGUGCAAACACGAAAGUGGACGUAUACGGUGUGACGCCUGCCCGGUGCCGGAAGGUUAAUUGAUGGGGUCAGCGCAAGCGAAGCUCCUGAUCGAAGCCCCGGUAAACGGCGGCCGUAACUAUAACGGUCCUAAGGUAGCGAAAUUCCUUGUCGGGUAAGUUCCGACCUGCACGAAUGGCGUAAUGAUGGCCAGGCUGUCUCCACCCGAGACUCAGUGAAAUUGAACUCGCUGUGAAGAUGCAGUGUACCCGCGGCAAGACGGAAAGACCCCGUGAACCUUUACUAUAGCUUGACACUGAACAUUGAGCCUUGAUGUGUAGGAUAGGUGGGAGGCUUUGAAGUGUGGACGCCAGUCUGCAUGGAGCCGACCUUGAAAUACCACCCUUUAAUGUUUGAUGUUCUAACGUGGACCCGUUACCCGGGUUGCGGACAGUGUCUGGUGGGUAGUUUGACUGGGGCGGUCUCCUCCUAAAGAGUAACGGAGGAGCACGAAGGUUGGCUAAUCCUGGUCGGACAUCAGGAGGUUAGUGCAAUGGCAUAAGCCAGCUUGACUGCGAGCGUGACGGCGCGAGCAGGUGCGAAAGCAGGUCAUAGUGAUCCGGUGGUUCUGAAUGGAAGGGCCAUCGCUCAACGGAUAAAAGGUACUCCGGGGAUAACAGGCUGAUACCGCCCAAGAGUUCAUAUCGACGGCGGUGUUUGGCACCUCGAUGUCGGCUCAUCACAUCCUGGGGCUGAAGUAGGUCCCAAGGGUAUGGCUGUUCGCCAUUUAAAGUGGUACGCGAGCUGGGUUUAGAACGUCGUGAGACAGUUCGGUCCCUAUCUGCCGUGGGCGCUGGAGAACUGAGGGGGGCUGCUCCUAGUACGAGAGGACCGGAGUGGACGCAUCACUGGUGUUCGGGUUGUCAUGCCAAUGGCACUGCCCGGUAGCUAAAUGCGGAAGAGAUAAGUGCUGAAAGCAUCUAAGCACGAAACUUGCCCCGA